AAAUGUAUCAAACUUAUAUUCUGAAAUACCCUUUUCUAAAUUGGGUUGAAAAUUCUUCUAAGAUUUGUGGAGUCCGUCAGGACGACUAGUAAGAUCAUAGGAUUACAGAAUGGGUUAGGCCUAUAUUCAUAAAUAUUCAGAAACAACUUUAGAGUAGACUUAGUGCUAUAGAAAAAGAAAUCUGUUGGUUCUUGCCAACACUAAAAAUAAUGGUAACUCUACUGAUAACGAGUCACAGUUCUUAAUGCACCAGAUACAGUAGAUACAAUAGUGAACGAUUCAUUUUCUCAAGGAGAAAAAGAGAGAAUAUCUCUCUUUGAUAGCGUGAUGAGUCUUAUAUAUGGAUAUAUUUAACUUUAUGGUUCAUAACGGAGUUGUCCACUUAGAACAAAGGACGAGGUAGAAUAGGAAAAUGAAAGAAGAGGAGUGGAAAAGGGGGGAGAACUAACUUGGUUGUGGUCAACGAUCUGACACCAACACGAUGGGCCACGGCCGUGACCACAGUCUGUUGCGCCGAUGUGAACCUUAUCUAGGAUCCGACCUUCCUACUCUUGGGAUGAGCAGAUCGGCUCCGUGUUCAUGAUCGGAGAGGAGGCUCUUUCUCUCACCCCUCCUCUCGGUGGUAACCCCAAUCUCUAUUUCUUCCACCUAGGAAGGAGGGGAAGAAGAGAGGCCAAGGAAGGGAAGAUGGGAGAGAUCGGUGAUGAUGGUCCUAAAUUUGGUGGUCGGAAACUUCGAAGAGGGAGGAUCAGGACGACGCGAGGCCCUCCUUCCUCUCGGCAGUGCUCGAGCCUCCAUCUCCCCCACCGGAGAUGGAGAGGAGAUCAAAAAAAAGAGAGGAGUGACCAGAAGAGACCCGAGAUGACAAGAAGUCUGAGUAGCAAAGUAAUACAAAUAAGAAGAGAUUUGACGUCUGUACGUACUGUGGCAGGACUCAUGGGGGAUCUUAUUUUAAGAAGAUGGGAAUCUGCUUCACUUGCCGUUGACAUGGACAUUUGGCAUGGGACUGUCCAAAUAAAAAGAAGAAUAAUUUGGAUU